GCACAAUUCUCAUGAAGGUAUGUGUACUUUGCCCACAGGUUGAAAUUGAUCAACUCAAAGUCAGUUCUCACUAUGGGGUAAAACAAAGCAAACCUCUUCAGCAACAAGAAGAAUUUCAAACAGUGAUCGUUCUGAAUCCGUACCAGUUUUGGAGUUGCAUCCCCCCUUCGAAACACAAGCGGGCCUCUAAACUUUGCUGACGCCAACUAUAUCUACAAGCUUCUAUAAUCUAUUACAGUGACUUCGUCCUCGGGUGCAUCUAGGUCUUGAUAACUCCGUAUUCGACGAGGAUCCUGUCGAAAACCUGAAGAUAGGGCAAGGAUUGGAGCAGAUCCACCUAAUUGAGGUCCUGGCCUUCCAUUUCUUCCACCACCCUCAAAAGGAGGUGGACCUCCUUGUUCCCG
rnacentral:misc_RNA from 1 species